rnacentral:rRNA from 1 species
AGAGUUUGAUCCUGGCUCAGAAUGAUCGUUGGCGGCGUGGAUUAGGCAUGCAAGUCGAACGGGCCGCAAGGCCAGUGGCGCAAGGGUGAGUUAGGCGAUGGCAACCAACCCCGCGAUUGGGCAUAGCCGAGGGAAACUUCGGGUAAUUCCCAGCGAUGUUCAGGACAGGCAUCUGUUUUGAACCAAAGGUGCGAUUCCGUCGCGGGACGGGCCAUCGUGGUAUUAGAUUGUUGGCGGGGUAACGGCCCACCAAGUCGUUGAUGCCUACCGGGCGUGUGAGCGUGGCCCGGCACACUGGGACUGAGACACUGCCCAGACUCCUACGGGAGGCUGCAGUCGAGAAUCUUCGGCAAUGGGCGCAAGCCUGACCGAGCGACGCCGCGUGGAGGAUGAAGGCCCUCGGGUUGUAAACUCCUGUCGAGGGGAAUGAAGGGGUCGUGAAGAACGAUCCUUGACCGAACCCUGGAGGAAGCACGGGCUAAGUUCGUGCCAGCAGCCGCGGUAAGACGAACCGUGCGAACGUUAUUCGGAAUCACUGGGCUUAAAGCGCGUGUAGGCGGAUCGGCGCGUCGUUCGUUGAAAGCCCCCGGCUCAACCGGGGAAUCGGCGGCGAUACGGCCGGUCUUGAGGAGCGCAGGGGAACCUGGAACUUCCGGUGGAGCGGUGAUAUGCGUUGAGAUCGGAAGGAACGCCCGUGGCGAAAGCGAGGUUCUGGACGCUUGCUGACGCUGAGACGCGAAAGCUAGGGGAGCAAACGGGAUUAGGUCCCCCGGUAGUCCUAGCUGUAAAC